rnacentral:misc_RNA from 1 species
GAAAUGCGAUAAGUAAUGUGAAUUGCAGAAUUCAGUGAAUCAUCGAAUCUUUGAACGCACAUUGCGCCCCCUGGUAUUCCGGGGGGCAUGCCUGUUCGAGCGUCAUUUCACCACUCAAGCCUCGCUUGGUAUUGGGCAACGCGGUCCGCCGCGUGCCUCAAAUCGACCGGCUGGGUCUUCUGUCCCCUAAGCGUUGUGGAAACUAUUCGCUAAAGGGUGUUCGGGAGGCUACGCCGUAAAACAACCCCAUUUCUAAGGUUGACCUCGGAUCAGGUAGGGAUACCGGCUGAACUUAAGC